rnacentral:lncRNA from 1 species
CUUGAUGUAGAAGACUAUCAUAUGAACCAGAGAGGGUAACUGAACCCAAAGAAAUGACUGCAACAUCAAGCUAAAGACACACCUUAAAGGAUGAGGAAGAGCAGAAAUCCCACCAGCAAGGCGAGAAAGAAGCUGCGCAUCAACAGCCUCUGCUUUAGGCCCAGAAGGAAAAGAAGUUACAGGAACCGAUCAGUCUUACACUCUUCUGUGAUCAUAAUCAAGAGGUCCCUGGAUCUAGAGAAAUGAAGGAGUCAGAGCACUAGAGCAAAAUGAAUCCUGGAACGGGAAUGGAAUGCCUGGAUUUGGAAGACCCAGUGUUAGGAAGCGUCACAGUUGGGAAGCAUCCUGGCCGUGCCAUCGUAAAGGGAAGCUGGCAGCCUGGGCUCCUGGAGAUUCUAUCUGGUGCUGGAGAACACUGGCUCCCACAGUCAGUGACAAAGGAGUUUUACUCACCCAGCACCCAGAUGAACUUUGGUGAGGAGAGGAGGUGGAGAGGUCAAGGAGCCUUGCUUUUCUACCUGCAAUUAUGGCACUUCCUUUGGAAAUGA